GUCGGUGACCACAGGUGGGAGGAAACACCUGUUCCCAUCCCGAACACAGAAGUUAAGCUCCUGCCGCCGAUGAUACUGCACCGCGGGAAAGUAGGUCGUUGCCGACA
rnacentral:rRNA from 1 species